GUAGCACUGCUUGUGGUGGUUAGAAUUACCUAAUAAUUAGAAUCUGGUAUUUACACAGCAGUAGAGGUCCUAAGUUUGCUCCACUGGGAUUUCUUUCUAUAGAGCUGGGUAGGAUUAGCGUCCCCAGAGUUACAGGUCCUAGGUGCUGCCUGGUCAGUGAUGGAACAGGAUUGAUGGCAAUUAGGGACAUCUCAUCCAGUCGGGACUUAAAUUUCACACUAGAAAAUAAUCUCCAGUCUUAGCACAGUGUGGGAAACACAGGUGCCUCUCCAGACCUAGUGCACUUACGCCGAAACCCGAGUAGUGUGUGGGGCAGACAGGGACUAAACGCAGGCCGAGUUCCCGCCCACUCAUCUACUUGUGUUCCUACUUAACAUUUUGAUUAGAAUGAACUUGCCAAUCCAAACAAAAACAGGACAAUCAAUUUAAGACAACAGGAAUAGAUUGUUAAA
rnacentral:lncRNA from 1 species